AUUGAACGCUGUCGGCAGGCCUAACACAUGCAAGUCGAACGAGCAACGGACGGGUGAGUAAUGUAUGGGAACUGCGCGAUAGAUGGGGAUAACUACUGGAAACGGAUGCUAAUACCGCAUACUAUCGGAUAACCCAUAUGGGAUUAGAUAGUAGGUGUGGUAAUGGCUCACCUAGGCUACGAUCCCUAGCGGGUCUGAGAGGAUGAUCAGCCACAGUGGUACUGAGACAAGGCCCCGACUCCUACGGAGGCAGCAGUGGGGAAUAUUGCACAAUGGGCGCAAGCCUGAUGCAGCCAUGCCGCGUGUAGUAAGAAGGUCCUCGGGUUGUAAAGUUCUUUCAGUCGGGAGGCGUUACCGACAGAAGAAGCACCGGCUAACACCGUGCCAGCAGCCGCGGUAAUAC
rnacentral:rRNA from 1 species